GAUAUACAGCCUGGUGCAGAGGUGAUCAAAGUACACAAGGCCUGCAGGCCAAAUCCAACCCACUGCCUGAUUUUGUAAAUACAGGCUUUUUUUAGAACCUGCAGCUGCCCUAAUUCAUUGAUGAAUUGUCUAUGGUGCUUUUGCAUUACAAUAGCAGAGGCCCUCUCAGAGCCUUUAAGAAGCCAGUAAGGAAAUCCAGCUGCAUUUCCCUGGAGCCCUGUUGUCAUGGAGUGUCCCCGAUUCUGGGAUGCAUGUACCUGAGGGCAUAUGAAGACUUCUCAAGGGAUACAGUCAGCAGUGUUCGUGGAGCCCCUACGCUGUCCCAGACACCAUCCUAGAAGCAGGAAAUACAGCGAGGAACAAGACAGGCAACCGGGGAGGAAGGCUCUCCUCUGCGACACGUGAAAAGUCCAGCUGAUGUCCAUUUUCCCCUGUGCAAGUCAUUAGCACACAGAGCCACCAAUGUCAAGUCCUUCCACUGACCACACACCACAUCAUCAAGAAUCCAGGAACUCUUUGCAGCCAGGACUCUAUCUCAGUGACCUCCAUGCCCCAGUUCUAUGUUUCUCCCUCUAAUGUGCAUCUGAAUCAGCUGAGGAUUCAGUGGGUCUGGGGAAGAGCCUGAAAUGUGGAAUUUCUAGCAGAUGCUGCUGGCCUCAGGCCUGAGCACAAUGCCUGGACUUGGAAAAUGCAGAUGCUUGGAAAACGUUUGUGUGUAAGCAUCCACCUGUGGGGGCGAUGCCAUGCCUUACUCCUCGGGCCACCUGCCUCAACAGCUGUCCUUUAGUUUCACAACUUAAACACGGUAACACAGAGGAUCUGACGUGCAUGGGGACACAAUUAGUAAAGCUUGCUUAUCACAAGGACCCGGUUAGAAGAGAGGGUAAUGACAGUGUGAGGAGAGAUGGCAGAGGGUUCACCAUUAACAGGAGAACACAAUCGGUUAGGAUGUUAAGACUAAGCCACCUGUGAUGGUAAGGGACCUUCCUGCCCCUGAAGAUGCCCCACCGCAGGACUCUCAGUGAGGGAGCGACAUCAGCAGCAUCACCCCCACCUCAUUCCCCAAAGCCAGGUGGAUCCCCUCUUAAGCUUCAGAGAAGUGAACCAUGGCUGGCCUCACAAACACCGUGGGGCCUCUGCACCAAGGCAGUGGACUUAGUGUCCCACUCCUGUUGUCUUGGGGCACCCCACCUUCACAUGUCUCCAUGUAUAUACAAUUAACAUCAGUAACCUCUCCACUAUUAGAAAAAAUGAUAAUAAUCAGGAGCUUGCGUAUGAAUCUAGGAGGCAUUAUGAGUGUCUACCACAGCGAUUGUCUACUCUGGCAGCCCAUUAGAACUGGAAGCUUGAGGGGCACCUGGGUGGCUCAGUCCAUUAAGCGUCCGACUUUGGCUCAGGUCAUGAUCUCACGGCUGGUGGAUUCGAGCCCCCGCUGGGCUCUGUGCUAACAGCUCCGAGCCUGGAGCCUGCUUCAGAUUCUGUGUCUCUCCCUCUCUGUCCCUCCCAUGCUCGCUCUCUCUCUCUCUCCCUCUCUCUCAAAAAUAAACACUAAAAAGAAAUUAAAAGAACUGGGAGCUUGAGUGAAAACGUAUGCCCAGUGUCACCUCCAGAGAGUGUGCCGUAAUCAGUCCGGGAGGGGACCUGAGUAUCGCACGAGGUCUUUAGGGAAAAUGGCCACAUCAGCUGCACCGUCCGAAGAAACUGGGACGUUGUUGCUUAUCAAUUCCUUCCCUCAGGCCAGCAACACAUUAGGUUGAAGUGUCUCUAGCCAUUUUAGGAGAAUUGCAAAUUUUCAAAGAAAGUAGCUUUAAUUCUUUGUAGUUUAUAAUGUGACUGUGUUAAAGCUGCUUUUGAGGGAAAAGUACUAGAUUCUAGAAAAGCUCCAGCGUGGGCAACACGUGAGGCCUGGCCGUGAGGGGCGCCUUCCCCAGGCACCUGAAAAUAUGGGGAAUAAUGUUUCAACUGAGGCUGAAACUAAUAAAAUCCACAUAUAAUGGAUAUGAUUAAGCAGCCAUGAAAUUGUAAGCAUGUGACUAUGAAGUUUUCUUUGGUAUCGUUGGUAAAAUACUUAUUGAAAAAAUAAAAUAUUUCCAAAAUAAAAGAAGUUACUUUGAAAAGAGUGAUAUGAGGUAAGAACACAAAGUCUCUCAUUUCUAUGCCCUCUCUCACUCCCCAUCCCUGCUUCUUGUCCUUCACCAGGAGCCACACUGCUGGCCUGGAAAGGAAUGAAGGAGUAUUCAACCUGAAAGUUGGUCCGAGUUAGUACCUCUGUUAAUGAGGAAGAUGCUUUUGGAUAACACCUAUUCUUAUUCCGAGAAAUAGAACUAAUGCUAUGGAAAGUGUCAUUAAGUACCAACAAAAAUAAUGUCAAACAUACGUACCUAUUUGGAAAGGCUGGAGAAAAAAAGGAGGAGAAGAACAGAAGAAUAGCUAAAAUACAGAAGACAAAUGUAAACAAGCAGGGACAAAUAGUGGCUUGGUACUGUGUGCCAGGUACUGUAGAUGUAUUAUUUUAAACAAUUCUCAAAUGAGCCCAACGAGGUGGGGGUCAUUACUGACAUCUCUUGAACAAGGUCUCUUUUGUGUAGCGGCAGCUGAAUCAAGAUCUUUCCCCACUCAGGCAAUUUAGAUCAUUUCCAGUUUUGGUGUCAGGAAGAGGAGGGCACACUGGGUGCCCGCAUGCUGGCUGUUCCUGGGGAAGGAGAGGACCAGGGGUACAUCAUGGAAGUGGAGCCCCAAGAAGCAAGGAAGCUGGGCCCUGAGUGAGCACAGGAAAAACCGACGAAAGGCCAGGGACACCCACACUGUGUGAAGAAGCAAGAAACAAACAUUUACUCAUUCAUUCACUUAUUCAUUCAUUCAUCCAUUCAUUCAGAAACCACUUACAGAGAUUUGCUAUGUGCCAGGCACUAUUCUAAAGGCUUUGUAAAUAUUAGCUCGUUUAAUACGACAUGGCCCUCAUUCUACAGAUGAGGAAACUGUCACCCAAACAAGUGUGAAGCUACUGAUUAGGAGUUUUAUUUAUGGCGGCAGUGAGGUAACCCUCACGAACGUAGAGUCACUAUGUAGAUAUUUUCUAUUCAGACUUAAAGGACUAACUUUGUCAAGAAGUUGACAAAGCCCGGAAUAGUGACUUAAAAACAUUAGAAGUGAGGUCCAAAAGACAUCUCCCAUUCUGCUGUGUCUCAGCUCAGAACAUUUACGACAAGGAUGAGUUCAUUCGGAUGGUGUGGAGGAGUGUAAUACGUGGACUGCUUGCUAAUGAUCUUUUUGAAGGUAUCUAUGUAGCUUUAUUUAUGAAAUCUCUUGUGAAAGUCACCGUCUUUUCAGCAAAAUGAAUAAGUUGAUCACUGGGAUUCUGGUGCCUGCGUCUUCUCAUCUGUCGGAUGAAAGACAGGGACUGAUGAGCUUGGAAGAGUACCUUCCAGAAUCAACAUUAAGUGUCAACAUUCAACUUCCCGCGUGGAGGCCGUCUCAACACAGGAACUUUAAUUUAAACUGAGAGCAAUCGCUUUUCAUAAACAGCUCACAGACUCAUGGCCGAAUCCGAGCCUCUGAUCCCGGCCUCAGCUCAGAGCCUGGAGAAGACAUGAAGGGUCUGUGUAAGAACGGGAGCAUAGGUACUGAUUCCCCCUAAGGUAAAAAGAUUGUAAACUACACUUUAAGUUGGCUGUUGUUUAAAGAUCACACGUGCUGUAUGGUUUUACAAUAAAUAAAGAGAAAUAACACAGUGAAUAAAUAAGUGAGCCAUUUUCCUUGGCUGCAAGGCUGCAGCACCGCUGUCUCCUAUUUCUAAGAGAAAACAUAUCAGA